rnacentral:rRNA from 1 species
GAUGAACGCUGGCGGCGUGCCUAAUACAUGCAAGUCGAGCGAACAGACGAGGAGCUUGCUCCUCUGACGUUAGCGGCGGACGGGUGAGUAACACGUGGAUAACCUACCUAUAAGACUGGGAUAACUUCGGGAAACCGGAGCUAAUACCGGAUAAUAUAUUGAACCGCAUGGUUCAAUAGUGAAAGACGGUUUUGCUGUCACUUAUAGAUGGAUCCGCGCCGCAUUAGCUAGUUGGUAAGGUAACGGCUUACCAAGGCAACGAUGCGUAGCCGACCUGAGAGGGUGAUCGGCCUCACUGGAACUGAGACACGGUCCAGACUCCUACGGGAGGCAGCAGUAGGGAAUCUUCCGCAAUGGGCGAAAGCUUGACGGAGCAACGCCGCGUGAGUGAUGAAGGUCUUCGGAUCGUAAAACCCUGUUAUUAGGGAAGAACAAAUGUGUAAGUAACUAUGCACGUCUUGACGGUACCUAAUCAGAAAGCCACGGCUAACUACGUG